CUGCAGAGACGCCGGCCCUCGUGGACUGAGAUUGCCCACCCCUGAGUUAUACCCUGGAGAUAAAUUGUUAAAAACUUCAGUUAGCGAACUCAGAUCAAUACUCACACUGGAUGAAUCAAAAAUUACAGAAUAAAAUACAGGCCUACAAGCCUCACACUUCCGGCCUCAGCGGUCUUUGAGUGCGGCCCUUGAGGACCGUUAAGGCUGCGUACUUUAAGGCUGCAGACCCUGAAUUGGGAUAGAGCCAUACAUACAUGUUUUGGUUCGUGCAACAGGACCGUCCGGUUAUUGUCUCCCCAGAAACAUUUCCGUUGUCUUUUUUCCUAUUUCCGUUGUGUUGUGUGUGCUUUUGCAGCGUUUUUCUUUUUGCAGCGUUUUUUUCUUUUUGCAGCGUUUUUUUCUAUUUGCAAGUGUUUUCUGAAGUUGCAGUCCGUUUGGUCUCUCAGGGCCACCGUACCCAUCCCAGUUUUAACAAAACUCUAGUUCUAUACAUUCACACCCAUCCAGACCACUCACAGUUCACAACACACCAACACAACAUAGCAUUGUCAAAACAGAGUGGGAGGGGAGGGCACAUCUCUCUACACCCCUUGUUCCCCAGCCCGUUCACACAUCUUGUCAGGCGGUUUGUGGAGUGCUUUUGUCACGGUUGGACGGUCCUCCCCGGACAACCUGCUUGUUUAUUUGUGAUGUGUGUGUGCCUUCCUCUCUUUCUGUCUUCCUCCCUAUUCUGCGGGUCGGGCUAUGCCUAGGGGCGGCGUCUCCGAGAGAGCGAGAAAGGCCGACCUCUGACCCGGAAGAGUAAUCUUCAGCUCCAGCUGCCGCUAAUCAUUCCUCACUAAACGGAGGUAUUUAACGGUGUGUCGAGACGGCAGUCGACGCUGGAUUGUACUCGGAGCUCGGUGGAGAAGUACGGGACGCAGGAGUGGAGAAAAAGGAUUCACUGGUGUUUUCGGGAGAAGGAAUUCACACGGAAGUAGUGCACACCGACCUCAUGGGGAAACUCACCUUCACCACUUUUGGGAAUUUAGAGAAAGGACAUUGUUGGAUAUCUCACUGUUUGAAGACUGUAUUUCAAGCACUGUAAAUAAACGCACUGUCGGCUUCAACCCAGAGCUCCGUGCCUGAAUCCAUACCGCUCAUUAGCCCUGACAGCUUUGGCUUCAUCCCAGUUUGCUGCUCGUUCAUAGUGGCAUCUGCUGACCAACACCGCAGAGGAGCAGGGGGAUCCACACAGCCCAAUACCUACAAUCGUACUCAGCAGCAGUGACGGCAAGCCCUUGAAUGAUUCAACUGAGGUCAAUGUCCAGAUGGAUGGACAAAAAAUGAUUCUGGACAAUGGACAUUUCAUUGGCGAUGGGUAUUGUCUUCUCCCUGUACCAUGUCUACAAUGUUGCCUAUCCAAGUGAACUAAAAAAGACAUUUUGCUUUUUGGAGGCAUUUGUUCUCAACUUGGGAACUCUGACUACACCUGUACCAGUAGCUGUGCAAAGAGUGGCAAAUGCAUUAAAUAUCUCCUAGACUGCCAGCAUAGUGCAGGUGAGAGACCGAUAUUGUCCCAAUAUGGACUAACAAAGGACCAUGAGUCCCACAUUAAACUUAACUUACAUAACUUAAGGCUGCAGUUCAUUGAUAAUUUAAAUAAAAAGAUUGUUCUUGAAAUAGUUUUACUGAAAAUGCAAACAUGCUGAUGAAAAUGUGUUGUUUAAUUGUCUGUUAUGAAAGUAUUGCUAUUUCUAAUGUAAUAAGUGUUGUUUUAUCUAUAGUAUAAUAUUUAUAUGUAUUUAUUUAUAGUAUAGUAAAGAUAUUUAGUUAUUACUGUUUAAAUGACUUAUAUGCUAUUAUUAGUAGUGGUGUUGUGCUUAGCGUUAAAAUGCCUUUUUGUCUUUUUCUGUAAUACAAAGUGCCAAUAAACCAUUAAUAUAUGUCUAUGUGCUUGUAUUUAUUUUACCCUACUCUAGUUAAUUCAAUUUAAGAUGCAUUUUAUUUUGAAAGAUUUAAAAUGGUUCUUUAAAGAACCACUCAGAAAAGGGUUCUUUAAGAUGGGUCUUUAAAGAACCACUUGAAAGACCUUUUUAAAAAUAGUUCUUCAAAGAACCAUUUUUUUAAAAAGGGGGCAAAAAAGCCACAGGUAUAUUACUACUUUCUAUGUAGCUAUUCUUGUAAAAGCAAAAUAUGUUAGGCACCACAGUGCAUUCAGAUCACAAUUCUGCUUGCAAAGCUGCCAGACAGUACAAAAAACAAACAAAAGAAAAAAACAAACAAGCAAACAGAAAUGCUUCACUGAUAUAUAUAACAAUCAUUUAUUUUCGUUGAAAACCAGACAGAGACCUGAGGCAGAGCUAACCAAAUCCAACUCCACCUGAGAAUAUUAAAAGGAAAGAAAGAAAGAUAAACACAAACAAAACCCCAAACCCACUCUCAGAGGGUUGAAUGGCAGUUUGAGGUGCGGACCCAAAAGCAGACUCAAUAGAUGAAAGACUUUAUUAAGCUCACAAAUCUUAAUCAAACAAGAUGGGGCGCGAGCAUCACUGCAGUCCGACUUUUUCUUUCUUUUUCAGUGAUCUGGAGGGAAAUGGCGAGCAAGAGGGCAGCCCGAUGACAUGUCUGAGCUAAUGUUAUUUUCAGAAUACAGAAGAGAGGCAUCGGGCAGAGAAUGCAGGAGGGUAAGUGUUUAGCUACUGCAUUAUUAGGGGAGCAGACCCGCGUCAGUAAAACCAAAAGAACAACAGGUUAGUUUGAAUGCUGAUCCCAAACAAUGUAAA
ensembl:lncRNA